UAACGCUCGCCGCCGGCCGUCCCACACCGGGCAGUCUUCCUCUCCACUCCGCCUGCAGUGUGAAUAAUACAAUAAUAUAGGACACCAAGUUAUAACCCGUAGAGAGCGUCGAAACGUAAUUUUCACGGCUCCGGACUAUAUGCAACAUGUCACGCAUGGUUAUAUGUUCGGCAGUAUCAUCGAAAAGCGUACAGAAGAAAUUAUUACUAAGCUAAUAUCAUUAUAAUUUAUUAUUAUUUCUGUAUUAUUUAGUUCAUCACACGUUACCUUUAGUCAAAUGUAAUUAAUAUAAUAUAGUGUCGCACCAAUGGUUGUGUAACAAAAACAGCAAUACAAUACUAUUACAGUGGAAUAAAAAAAGGUUUUAUAGAGUAA